rnacentral:rRNA from 1 species
ACAUACGACCAUACCUACCAGAAAAUACGGGAUCCCGUCCGCUCUCCCAUAGUCAAGCUGGUAAGGGGCGGAUUAGUAUUUGGGUCGGUGACGACCAGCGAAUCCCCGCUGUUGUAUGU